CAGUUUUUCUUAAUCAUAAAUAAAACAUUUUCUAAAUAUUUAUGUCCUCAAACCUUCCACAAGCCCAUUGUGACUUCACUAUGUAAAUCUUUCCAGUCAUUCUUAAUGGUUAUAUGGUCUUUAUCUCCCCAUGACACUCCUCCCACCAUGUUAUUCAGCCUUCAGAUGGAAGCGACAGCCUAGAAGAUGCAUAAAUAAGCUAGAAAAUGUUUCUUCAGUAGAAAUUUCAGUAGAAACUUGGUAAAAUGAUCUCUUUACAACUUCCAUGAUUUUAUUCUCCAGGACAAUAUGGCAGGAUGAUGAGAGUACUGAGGCUUAGAGAAGAUAAAUAACACCAUAACUACAUGACAGAGGUUUUGAUACUUAAACUUUUGGAGGAUUAAAUUUGCGAAAAAAGAAGCUGAGGACCAAAACAGCUACAGGACUGACCUGCCCAAAACCACACAGUGAGUCUGCAGCCCGGCUUCGGACCAGAGUUUCUUCUGACAAGCGGCAAGCUCAUUGAUGGCCACACCCGCUCAUCCUGGAUAAUAGUAUUCCCCAGUGGAAUUAACACGAUGCAUCUUCCUGGAGUAUCAUUUUUACUUUAAGAUUUAAAAGCAAGCAAGCAAAUUAAAUAGUCAUUUAAAUCAUAUUUAUAUUAAGCCUAACAUGGCCAUAUUGUAGAGCAAACCAUCGGGAUUUAAUAAACAAAACAGGAAACUUCAAAGAAAUGCUUUUUCUUGGAAAGAAGGCAGGAGAGCAAGAAAAGCGACUGCCUCAGCCUUUAUCACUCUCCAUACCAGUGCCAAGGAGCCAAAGAGAAGAAAUGAGAAUAAUCAAGGUUUAUGAAACCUAUAUAAAAACCUAUGAAACCUACACAGUCUGUGGAUGGAAUGUGUACUACUCUAGGAAAUGAAUAAAUACGUUAUCAAUAGCAGGG